AAAUUGAAGAGUUUGAUCAUGGCUCAGAUUGAACGCUGGCGGCAGGCCUAACACAUGCAAGUCGAGCGGAAACGAGUUAUCUGAACCUUCGGGGAACGAUAACGGCGUCGAGCGGCGGACGGGUGAGUAAUGCCUAGGAAAUUGCCCUGAUGUGGGGGAUAACCAUUGGAAACGAUGGCUAAUACCGCAUGAUGCCU
rnacentral:rRNA from 1 species